rnacentral:lncRNA from 1 species
AGGCGCUCCCUGCGGCGGUAACGGCAGCGAUAGGGGCACGGGGCUACCUGCGCCCCGCGGCGCCUCACGUGACGCUGCGUGACGUCACGACAGCGCCGCCGCCUCUCGCGUGCUUUCCCGUGAAGUCCCAGGGGGCGCGGAGGGCGGGAAGGAAAGGAGUCGGCCAAUGGGAGAGCGAGGGGGCGGGGCCUCCGGGCAGGGCGGGGCCGCGGCGCUGAGGGGCGGGGCGGGAGCGGGACGGGGGCGGGAGGGGCGGUGCUUCAGCCGGGGCUGAGGGCCUGAAGAGCGGAGCAUGCGUUUGAAAGUUUGCAGCGUGGUUGCUUGGCUCAUGCUGGAGGAUGCUGGGGCCAGCUGGAGUCCACCACGUGCUCCGCGCAGGGGCAGGCCCAGGCUCUCCAGGCGGCCGGGAGCGUGGAGGAUCGGCUGCCACCCGUGUUCCAGGGGAGGGAGCAGGGUAUGGGCCGAAGGAAGGUGGAACCACAGAGAGGGCAGCAGAAUCAUAAGAAUCACAGAAUUGCUCAGGUUGGAAAAGACCUUCAAGAUCAUCAAGUCCAACUGCAACCUAACCAUACUGCCCUCCAAACAGUUUUUAAACACAUUCAGGGAUGGUGACUCAACCACCUCCCUGGGGAGCCUGUUCCAGUGCUUAACGACCCUUCCUGUAAAGAAGUUUGUCCUGAUAUCCAACCUAAACCUCCCCUGGAGCAACUUGAGGCCAUUUCCCCUUCCAAUGGGCUUCUGA